AUCGAACGCUGGCGGCAGGCCUAACACAUGCAAGUCGAGCGGAUGAAGGGAGCUUGCUCCUGGAUUCAGCGGCGGACGGGGGAGUAAUGCCUAGGAAUCUGCCUGGUAGUGGGGUAUAACGUCCGGAAACGGGCGCUAAUACCGCAUACGUCCUGAGGGUGAAAGAGGGUGAUCGUCGGACAGUAUGCUAUCAGAUGAGCCUAGGUCGGAUUAGCUAGUUGGUGGGGUAAAGGCCUACUAAGGCGACGAUCCGUAACUGGUCUGAGAGGAUGAUAAGUCACACUGGAAGUGAGCCACGGUCCAGACUACUAAGAGAGGGAGCAGUGGGGAAUGUUGGACAGUAGGCGAAAGCCUGGUACAGCCGUGCCACGUGUGUGACGAAGGUCUUCGGAUUGUAAAGCACUUUAAGUUGGGAGGAAGGGCAGUAGGUUAAUACCUUGCUGUUUUGACGUUAACAGCAGAAUAAGCACCGGCUAACUUCGUG
rnacentral:rRNA from 1 species